GACGAACGCUGGCGGCGUGCUUAACACAUGCAAGUCGAACGGAAAGGCCCUGCUUUUGUGGGGUGCUCGAGUGGCGAACGGGUGAGUAACACGUGAGUAACCUGCCCUUGACUUUGGGAUAACUUCAGGAAACUGGGGCUAAUACCGGAUAGGAGCUCCUGCUGCAUGGUGGGGGUUGGAAAGUUUCGGCGGUUGGGGAUGGACUCGCGGCUUAUCAGCUUGUUGGUGGGGUAGUGGCUUACCAAGGCUUUGACGGGUAGCCGGCCUGAGAGGGUGACCGGCCACAUUGGGACUGCGAGAGGGCCCAGACUCCUACGGGAGGCAGCAGUGGGGAGUAUUGCACAGUGGGCGGAAGCGUGAUGCAGCGACGCCGCGUUCGGGAUGACGGCCUUCGGGUUGUAAACCGCUUUCGCCUGUGACGAAGCGUGAGUGACGGUAAUGGGUAAAGAAGCACCGGCUAACUACGUG
rnacentral:rRNA from 1 species